GAGAUGAUCUGUCUGUCCAUCUGAUAUCACUUGUCCUGAGUAUAUUUUUUCUCCUCUUAGCCCAAUCUCACUCAAAUUUAACUCAUAGAGUGCCUGUGGAUGGAGGGUAAAAAGUGACCUUGGACCAAUUAUCAAGGUCAAAGAUCGCAGAUGAUGUGAAGAAAAUACAAAGGAAGCUGAUGUUGAAAGAAGUAUAGAGUAUUUAAAGAAGUUUUUAUGAAUGGACUUAGAUGUGAAAGACUACUUCAUUGUGUACCAAGAUAUAUGAUUUUAUUUAUUUUGAUAUCAUUUUCAAAUAAUGUUUUUGCACAUCAAAUGAAUUAUUAAACAUAUGAUUUGAUAA